CCCAGACUCCUACGGGAGGCAGCAGUGGGGAAUAUUGCACAAUGGGGGAAACCCUGAUGCAGCGACGCCGCGUGGGUGAAGGAGUAUUUCGGCAUGUAAAGCCCUAUCGGCAGGGAAGAAGAAAGACGGUACCUGACUAAGAAGCCCCGGCUAACUACGUGCCAGCAGCCGCGGGAAUACGUAGGGGGCGAGCGUUAUCCGGAUUCACUGGGUGUAAAGGGAGCGUAGACGGCCAAGCAAGCCAGGGGUGAAAGCCCGGGGCCCAACCCCGGGACUGCCCUUGGAACUGCAUGGCUGGAGUGCGGGAGGGGCAGGCGGAAUUCCUGGUGUAGCGGUGAAAUGCGUAGAUAUCAGGAGGAACACCAGUGGCGAAGGCGGCCUGCUGGACGACAACUGACGGUGAGGCGCGAAAGCGUGGGGAGCAAACAGGAUUAGAUACCCGCGUA
rnacentral:rRNA from 1 species